GGAUGCGAUCAUACCAGCACUAAAGCACCGGAUCCCAUCAGAACUCUGAAGUUAAGCGUGCUUGGGCGAGAGUAGUACUAGGAUGGGUGACCUCCUGGGAAGUCCUCGUGUUGCUUUCC
rnacentral:rRNA from 1 species